GGGUGGCAUAGUUGAUUAGAGUGCACGAUGGCAAGCGUGACUAGAAAUCUCUCUAUCGUAGCUGCGGGUUCGAAUCCCGCCACCGACA